GACGAACGCUGGCGGCGUGCUUAACACAUGCAAGUCGAACGGUAAGGCCUUUCGGGGUACACGAGCGGCGAACGGGGGAGUAAAACGUGGGUGAACUGCCCUGCACUUCGGGAUAAGCCUGGGAAAAUAGGGCUAAUACCGGAUAUGACCUCCUAUCGCCUGGUGGGUGUUGGACAGCUUUGUCGGUGCAGGAUGGGCCGGCGGCCUAUCAGCUUGUUGGUGGGGUAAUGGCCUACCAAGGCGACGACGCGUCGCCGAGCUGAGAGGGUGACCGGCCCAACCGCGACGGAGAUGAGGCACAGACCCGUAUGGGAGGCAGGGGAGGAGAAGAUAGCAUUAGAGGCGAAACCCUGGUGUAGCGACGCAGUGUGGGGGAUGACAGGAUGCGGGUUGGAUUGUACAGCCCUCUUGGACGAAGUGAAAGUGACGGUACCGGCAGAAGAAGCACCGGCUAACUACGUG
rnacentral:rRNA from 1 species